GGCGUAGGCGGGAAAGAAAGUCAGAUGUGAAAUUCCGGGGCUCAACCUCGGAGCGGCAUUUGAAACUUCUUUUCUAGAGGGUAGGCGGAGAAAAUAGAACUCCACAAGUAGCGGUGAAAUGCGUAGAUAUGUGGAAGAAUACCGGUGGCGAAGGCGGUUUUUCUAGCUUACUCCUGACGCUAAUGCCCGAAAGCAAGGGGAGCAAACA
rnacentral:rRNA from 1 species